GGGGGCGUUCCGGAUUCGACGGAAGCUCUCGCGUUCGAAAGGCACGCCGGGGGUCCACACCACCCGUAAUCGGAGUGGAAAAAGACAACUGCCAAUCAGCAGUUUGCAUACGCUGCCUAAUUAAGGUAGCGCGUCUCCUCCGUCUCCGCCCGCGGGGCGGAGAGGGGCGUCAUCCAGCGGGCUGGCUUGGGACCUGCCGCCUGAGGGUCCCGGGCGAGAUCCGGGCGACCGGAUAAGGCUAGCCGGCGGUUCGUUCUUGCACGUUCCAGAGGGCCGCUGGCGAAAGCAGUAAGCGAACGCGAUAAGCGUGUAGGCUUUCGAGCGCAAGGCUUUUCGGACGGGGGUUCGACUCCCCCCGCCUCCACCA
rnacentral:tmRNA from 1 species